UCCAAGCUGCAUCUACUCUGUUGACAUCCUCCCAAAUCCCUACCCAAAUCCCUACAAAACACAAUCAUAGAGAACAAGCCUCCAUCUUCUUCAUUCUCCUCUUCAAUCGCUUCUUCAGCGGUUCCAAUGGGUACAGAGUUUUGACGCGACGGUGGGAUCAUGACCGAAGAGAGGGAGGUGGUGGCAGAGAGAUUGCCAGAGGAGGGGAGGAUGGUAACAUCGUGUCAGCAGGGAGAGAGAGGGAUCGAGGUUUCGAUCUCUAUACUUCUCUUCAUCCUCUCUCUCUCUUCUCCAAAAUUCCUCAAGCUCCUACGUCCACCUGCCAAAUACACUCAUCUCUGCUGCCAUAUCUAAGCAGAAAUCAUGAAAACCUAGAGCUUUCAUGUAAGAGGUUUCUUGACCGCGGAAGAAUGCGAUCAUCUGAUAUCUCUCAUACUCUUAUCACAUACGAAGUCCAAGCGAAAGAGAGAGAAGAUGCCUCAGAAGAAGACUUGAAGAAUAAGUUGUUGGCUUGAAGAGCAAAGAAAGAAAAAUCCCAAUCAAAGAAGAAGAUUGAGUCAAGCUCAAGUUUUGAAGAUGAGGAUGAUUAAUAUGCGCUUAUAGUAAAAGGAUUCAAGUCUUUUCUUAAAUCAAAGAAUGGACAGAAAUAUAUUCAGAAAAGACAGAUGAAAUUGGGUCAUUACAUGAAUCGAUGCCCUUUGAAUAGAAAGGAAAAGAAGAUGGAAGGUAAGAGUCUCAAAGUCACAACUUGGGAUUUGACAAAUGAGGGUGAAUCUAAAGCCGAGUCCAGUGGAGAUGACAAACAAAUGCGCAAGUGUCUCAUGGGAAGAAAUGCAUUAACUUCAAAAAGUAUAAGGAGAGUAUUCAAACGAAUAGGUAUAUCCUUUUAUGAUGAGCUUUAUUCUAAAGUAUAAGGAGAUGUUAAUUCAUUUGAAAAAUAUAG